GUCUAUGGCCAUGCCACCCUGAACAUGCCCGAUCCCGUCUGAUCUCGGAAGCUAAGCAGGGUCGGGCCUGGUUAGUACUUGAAUGGGAGACCACCUAGGAAUACCAGGUGCUGUAGGCA
rnacentral:rRNA from 1 species